ACUCUCCAGAAGGCACUGUUUUUACUUAAAACAAGAUCAAACCGGAAACCUUUUCACAUGUGAGUCCUAAAACUGUAAACCGGAACCCUUUCAUAUGUGAUUCCUAAAACUGUAAACCAAAACCUUUUCACAUGUGAGUCCUAAAACUAUGAACCUAAGAUUCUUCCAUGUGUAACAUCUAAAGUAUAAGCCUAUAUAAAGGCAUAACCUUCCUUUGUUAGAGGAGCUGAGUUUUUAACAGAUUACUGCCUGCUCUCCCGGCCAAAUAAGCUCCUCCCUCCUUUAUUCGGUGUUCAAGAAAUCUGUUUCCCGUGGCUGCUCCUGCUACAUUUUUGGUGCAUUGGCAGGGAAGGGAGUCUUGAAUAGCAGACGGCGGGAAAAAGUCUCUUACGUGGUCUGCCUAGCCCUGUGGAGCAUCCCUGCAGGGGGACUCCUGCUCCCUGGGGUGACGCAUCCUGAGAGCCCUCCGGGCAGGUAUUUACCCGGUGGAAAAGCCUCUCCAGAGCAGAGCAGGGAGGCCCUGCAGUGCAGAUCCACCCAGUGGCUGAACACCGAAGAGGAACAAGUAUUUGGGGAAGUCUGGACAACUGAAUUUGGUUUGGACUGCCACCGCGCAUCAGAUCACACAACGGACCAGCAUUUGUGGCGGAUUUAGUUCAGAAAACAGCAACGGCCUUGGGUAUCACCUGGAAACUGCACGCUGCAUACUGACCUCAGAGUUCCGGACACGUGGAAAAAAUAAACCAGAUCAUCAAAAACAGCUUAGGGAAAGUGUGUCAGAAAACAAGAUUAAAAUGACCAGGGGCAAGCAGUGGAGGAUACUGUGCGAGACAUGACCAAACUGGCACACGUGCCUGUACAGGAUGUCGUCAUCAUCAUCAUCGUCAUCGUCGUAUUUAUUGAGAACUUACUAUGUGCCCGGCACUGUUCUAACUGUGCUCUGUGCUCUUCUGUUCUUCUUGCAACAUUCCUGCAACAUAGGUUGUACUUGCGGAGCCGGGUCGAGACUUGUGAUUCCUUCUCCAGCGUUCUUUCUAGUCACCUUUCACUCAAAACAUUUUUUUAAAAAACAAAAAUGUGUAUACACACAAAAACACACACACUUUUUUCCAUAAGAGAAUCUGAGAAGCCUUACAAAAAUACAUAUAGUACAAGAGGAUAAACAGAUUAGGAGGCACAGACAAUGGAAAAAUGGUUAAGAGGGCAAAAGACAGGUGGGAAGGGUGUGGCUGAAAGGUGCUUUCUAAGGCCUGGCUCCCCAGGAAGCAGAGUUGGAGAAGGACAUCAGCAUGAAGCAGCUUAUUAGGAGAUGUUCUUGGGAUCUGUCUGUGAAAGUGAAGGAGUACCUACCUGCAGGACUGGGCAGAGGAGAAGCUGGGCCACAAUUCAGUUGUUGUAACAAGCUCCGGAAGUGGAUUUGUGGCGAGCAGCUCAGACCAUUCCACUGCUGCAUGGAUCUGUCUUUGAGCAUUGUUGGGGAAAGAGGUGUGACCUGGGGCCAGGGGUGCAUUUCUUUAGCCAAGGAUAGGGUUGCUGGGGAAAGCAAAUAAAUAUACAAGAUAACCGAUUAAGUUCCAAUUUCAAAUUAACUGACAAUGAAUAUUUUUAGUAUAUUUGGUGUAAGUGUGCCCCAAAUAUUGUUUGGAACAUUGGGACAUACUUAGACUAAAAUAAGUAUUUGUCAUUUAACUGAUAUUUAAAUUUAAUCUGGUGUCCUGUGUUUUAUCUGGCAACCCUAGCCCAGAGCAAGUCCAGGGGAGAACUGAUUUGUGAGGUGCCAGCAGGUAACCCUGCAUGCAGCUGGAGGAAUGGGCACCUGCGUCCUGAAGGAGGGUUCUACUUAGCACAGUAGGGACCUACCACACAUGCUUUGCAUUUGCAGUCAUAGUGUACAAGGUCAAUUCUCAGUUUCUUGACAGUCAAAGAGGGAUAGUGUUUAAACCUUAACAAUAGCCUAAGAUUUUCAAAUUAUCAGGCAAUUUUGCUUAGGAGAAAUGCAGGUCAUUUUGUCAUGAAAUUUCUCCUUGUGUUUUCUCAUAGUGGAUGUAAGGUACUGAGGUAGUAGACAGUUAUUCUUAAUACAAAGGGAGCAUGGCUGCAAUUUAAGGAGGACCCCAGGGUCCAGCAUGCUCUCCAGACACAGUCUGCUCUGCCUUGGACUUCCUGAGCCAUCUGCAUGUCCCUGUUCAUUGUACUCUAUAUCAAACCUGUGGAAAAAAUCAGAGGAUCUCUUUAUUUGACCAUUUUAAAAGUAGUUAUAUGUUUUCCUAGUUGGAAAUGUUUAAGAAUCAUUUAGUUCUUCGCUCUAAUUUUAUGUCAUCAUCAUCAUCAUCAUUGUAUUUAUUGAGAACCUACUAUGUGAAUAAACUAUGAGCCAAGUUUAUUCAUUCAUGCAUUUGCUCAGCACAUAUUUAUUAAGCAGCUCCUGAGAGCCAAGCUCUGAGAUAGAUGCCGGACCUUUGGAGGUGAAGAAGCAGAUACGGAUCCUGGACUCACAGAGAUGACAGUCUCCCCACCUAGAACUGGACACCUGAGUCAGGAUGGCAAAUAGGUUUCAACUCAAAUACCAGUCCAUCGGCAGAGGAUGCCUGCACCUCUGUGUUGGGAAGGAUUUAGUAUCGGUCAGAAUUCAGGUUAGACUAUGGUAACAAAGAGACCCCAAAAUAUAGUGGUUUAAAUGAGACUGAAAUUUAUUUUAUUGCCACUUUAAAAUCUUGAAGUAGAUCACCAGGGCAGCUAGGACUGCCCUUGUGUCCACUGCCCCUGGAGGUUUCAGAGGAUUCAAACUUCUAUCUUGAUGCUCCAAGAAAAUGAAGCACUAUUACCCUAUGUGUCCUCAAGCCAGUGGAAAGGGGAAGGGAAUAAACGUGGCCCAUUUGUUUCAAGAGCAUAGCAAGAAAGCUGUAGAUGUCUUUUCUCUUCACAUCCUUUUGUAAAACCUCAGUGCCAUGGUCACAUAUUCUUGUAAAAGAGGUUGGGAAGGGUAGUCACUGCCUGGGUUUGCCAUGUAUCCAGCUGAAGUGUGGGGGGUUCUUUAUUAAAGGAAGGGGGAGAGAACAGUUAUUAAAGGACCACAUUAGUCUCACCCACAGAUUCUGAGAGGAAUGAAGUGCUGUGAGACAUUAUGAAGCCCGUCAUAAAAACAAGGUCUGGAACAAAAGGCACUCAGGCCGUCUGUUUUCUCUCUCCACCAUGUAGCCCAUGGUGCUGAGGCUGUCUGACCCCAGGCUUCUAAUGACUCCUCUGGUACUUUACCGAAGUAUUUUCCAAGACAUACGAAAGAUAAGGUAGGACCACUUAUCAAAGCCUCAUAAGGUCAAAUUCUGAUAAGUGAAAAAAACAGGAACAGCCAACCAGAGUAAGGGAGAAGGGACCAGGAAGAGAAUGUAUCAGAGCAGGCACACCCUCCUCUCUUGGGUCUGUCUGUUCAUUCAUUCAGCUCCUCUGACUGACAUCAGACCUCAGGGAGGGGCUGGAGUAGGGAUGGGGGCACACAAGAGAAAGGCAACUGGAAUUUUUAAGAAUUACAUCUCCCAAAUGCUUUAUAUACAUUUACAUUCUUAUUUAAUGUGCACAGAAACUCUUAUUUUAUUACCUAAUUUAGAUAAGGAAAGCAGAAGUAAAAAUCUGACUCAAGAUCUGAAUAAUGCCAGCCACCUUGACCUAAUUGAUAUUUAUGGAAUAGGACAUUCAAAAACUGUAGAAAACACUGUGUUUUCAAAUGAACUGGUAUGUUCCUCAAGAUCAACCAGACUCUGACUUGUAAAACAAGGCUCAAUAAAUUUAAAAGGAUAAGCAUUGUGUAGAGUAUGCUCUCUGAUCGCUAUGAAAUCAAAUGAGAAAUAACAAAAUAUACACAAAACCAUAAAUAUUUGGAAAUUAAACAUUUUUCUAAAGAACCAUAAAUUAAAGAACUCACCAGAGAAAAGUGAAAAUAUGUCUAAAUCAAGGAUAAAUUCAGUUCCCAUUUUCAUGAUGAUUACUUCUACAUGCACUAUAUCAAAAUCUGUGGGAGACAGCUAAAGCAGUGCUUAGAGGGAAAUUUAUAGCUUUAAAUAUUUAAGUUAGAAAAUAAUAAAUAUUUAAAAUUAAUUAUUUAAGGUUCCACCUUAUAAAACUGGGAAACAAAGAGAAAAGCAAACUCGAAGAAAGUAGGUGGAAGGAAAGAAUAAAGGUGAGUGCAGGAAUCAGUAAAGUUGAAAAAAGACAAACAACAGAGAAUAUUAGUUAUCAGAUACACCUGUAGCUAGACUCAUCAAGAAUAAAAAAGACACAAAUUACCAUCACUACAGACCUUAAAGACAUUAAAAAGUUAAUAAGAUCAUUUAUUUCAAUAAACUUGCCAA